rnacentral:rRNA from 1 species
UACGUAGGGUGCUAGCGUUGUCCGGAAUUAUUGGGCGUAAAGAGCUCGUAGGCGGUCUGUCGCGUCGGCUGUGAAAACCCGAGGCUCAACCCCGGGCCUGCAGUCGAUACGGGCAGACUAGAGUGCGGUAGGGGAGACUGGAAUUCCUGGUGUAGCGGUGAAAUGCGCAGAUAUCAGGAGGAACACCGGUGGCGAAGGCGGGUCUCUGGGCCGUAACUGACGCUGAGGAGCGAAAGCGUGGGGAGCGAACAGG